AUAUUCUGAAAAUGAAAAUAGAUGUUUUUUUAGAUAUAUAUACGUAUAAGGAGAGAAGUUUAAGAUAAUUGGACCGAAUAAAUUAAAAACAAAAGAAAAGAAAAGAAGAGAGACAAGUGUUAGUGAGUGAGGGUGUGUGUGUGACUCACCUGCUAAAAAAAAAAAGGAAAUAAAGAAUAAGAGGAUUCACUCCUCUAGUAACACAAUAUAACUCAUGGAAAUGUAAAGAGAAUGAGGAGAAGGAGGAAAGGGAAACAGGGAGGUUAGGGAAGCAGCGGAAUGGCGCACACACGAACAGAAAGGAGGGUCUAUGGUGGUAUCCGACCAGUGCACAACAACCUGGUGGCGCACACACAAAGUAGUCGCACGAAUUGGAGGGAUAGUGGUUAGUGCUCUGGUUCGUUUUGUACAUUUAAGAGUGUGAUUUGGGAUCGAUUUCCAAGCUAUAUAUCCUUCAUCCCUAAUCUUCUUUGUUUGUGGGUGCAUGAAGGUAGUAUUAUUGAAGAAGGUCUGAUAUAUGUUAUUCAUAUUAUUUGUAUCGCGGCAAGGACGACCGGCUUUGUAAUAUUAUAGUUAACAGUUAAUUUGUAAUUAAAUUAAAAAGAUUUGAGUUUGUAAAGUUUAAACUUGUUUGGGUUGCUGGAUUUUGAGGAUACACAGAAUUAUGAAUCAGACGCGAGUCCUAAAUUAAGUUUUAGGCGGUCCGUAUUACAAA